GCAGUCGAGCGGACAGAAGGGAGCUUGCUCCCGGAUGUUAGCGGCGGACGGGUGAGUAACACGUGGGUAACCUGCCUGUAAGACUGGGAUAACUCCGGGAAACCGGAGCUAAUACCGGAUAGUUCCUUGAACCGCAUGGUUCAAGGAUGAAAGACGGUUUCGGCUGUCACUUACAGAUGGACCCGCGGCGCAUUAGCUAGUUGGUGAGGUAACGGCUCACCAAGGCGACGAUGCGUAGCCGACCUGAGAGGGUGAUCGGCCACACUGGGACUGAGACACGGCCCAGACUCCUACGGGAGGCAGCAGUAGGGAAUCUUCCGCAAUGGACGAAAGUCUGACGGAGCAACGCCGCGUGAGUGAUGAAGGUUUUCGGAUCGUAAAGCUCUGUUGUUAGGGAAGAACAAGUGCAAGAGUAACUGCUUGCACCUUGACGGUACCUAACCAGAAAGCCACGGCUAACUACGUGCCAGCAGCCGCGGUAAUACGUAGGUGGCAAGCGUUGUCCGGAAUUAUUGGGCGUAAAGGGCUCGCAGGCGGUUUCUUAAGUCUGAUGUGAAAGCCCCCGGCUCAACCGGGGAGGGUCAUUGGAAACUGGGAAACUUGAGUGCAGAAGAGGAGAGUGGAAUUUCCACGUGUAGCGGUGAAAUGCGUAGAGAUGUGGAGGAACACCAGUGGCGAAGGCGACUCUCUGGUCUGUAACUGACGCUGAGGAGCGAAAGCGUGGGGAGCGAACAGGAUUAGAUACCCUGGUAGUCCACGCCGUAAACGAUGAGUGCUAAGUGUUAGGGGGUUUCCGCCCCUUAGUGCUGCAGCUAACGCAUUAAGCACUCCGCCUGGGGAGUACGGUCGCAAGACUGAAACUCAAAGGAAUUGACGGGGGCCCGCACAAGCGGUGGAGGAUGUGGUUUAAUUCGAAGCAACGCGAAGAACCUUACCAGGUCUUGACAUCCUCUGACAACCCUAGAGAUAGGGCUUUCCCUUCGGGGACAGAGUGACAGGUGGUGCAUGGUUGUCGUCAGCUCGUGUCGUGAGAUGUUGGGUUAAGUCCCGCAACGAGCGCAACCCUUGAUCUUAGUUGCCAGCAUUCAGUUGGGCACUCUAAGGUGACUGCCGGUGACAAACCGGAGGAAGGUGGGGAUGACGUCAAAUCAUCAUGCCCCUUAUGACCUGGGCUACACACGUGCUACAAUGGACAGAACAAAGGGCUGCGAGACCGCAAGGUUUAGCCAAUCCCACAAAUCUGUUCUCAGUUCGGAUCGCAGUCUGCAACUCGACUGCGUGAAGCUGGAAUCGCUAGUAAUCGCGGAUCAGCAUGCCGCGGUGAAUACGUUCCCGGGCCUUGUACACACCGCCCGUCACACCACGAGAGUUUGCAACACCCGAAGUCGGUGAGGUAACCUUUAUGGAGCCAGCCGCCGAAGGUGGGGCAGAUGAU
rnacentral:rRNA from 1 species